rnacentral:rRNA from 1 species
GAUGAACGCUGGCGGCGUGCCUAAUACAUGCAAGUCGAGCGAAGAGACGAGGAGCUUGCUCCUCGGACGUGAGCGGCGGGUGGGUGUAUAACACGUGGAUAACCUACCUAUAGGACUGCGAUAACCUCGAGAAACCGGAGCUAAUAGCGGAGAAUAUAUUGAACCACAGGGUUCAAUAGUUAGUGACGGCUUUGCUGUCCCUUAUAGAUGGAUCCGCGCCGCAUGAGCUAGUUGGUAAGGUAACGGCCUACCAAGGCAACGAUGCGUAGCCGACGUGAGAGGGUGAUCGGCCACACGGGAACUGAGACAGGGUCCAGACUACUACGGGAGGCAGCAGUAGGGAAUCUUCCGCAAUGGGCGAAAGCCUGACGGAGCAACGGCGCGUGAGUGAUGAAGGUCUUCGGAUCGUAAAACUCUGUUACUAGGGAAGAACAAAUGUGUAAGUAGCUAUGCAGGUCUUGACGGUACCUAAUAAGAAAGCAACGGCUAACUACGUG